rnacentral:rRNA from 1 species
CAGGUGCGAAAGCGUGGGGAGCAAACAGGAUUAGAUACCCUGGUAGUCCACGCCGUAAACGAUGUCGAUUUGGAGGUUGUGCCCUUGAGGCGUGGCUUCCGGAGCUAACGCGUUAAAUCGACCGCCUGGGGAGUACGGCCGCAAGGUUAAAACUCAAAUGAAUUGACGGGGGCCCGCACAAGCGGUGGAGCAUGUGGUUUAAUUCGAUGCAACGCGAAGAACCUUACCUGGUCUUGACAUCCACAGAACUUUCCAGAGAUGGAUUGGUGCCUUCGGGAACUGUGAGACAGGUGCUGCAUGGCUGUCGUCAGCUCGUGUUGUGAAAUGUUGGGUUAAGUCCCGCAACGAGCGCAACCCUUAUCCUUUGUUGCCAGCGGUUAGGCCGGGAACUCAAAGGAGACUGCCAGUGAUAAACUGGAGGAAGGUGGGGAUGACGUCAAGUCAUCAUGGCCCUUACGACCAGGGCUACACACGUGCUACAAUGGCAUAUACAAAGAGAAGCGACCUCGCGAGAGCAAGCGGACCUCAUAAAGUAUGUCGUAGUCCGGAUUGGAGUCUGCAACUCGACUCCAUGAAGUCGGAAUCGCUAGUAAUCGUAGAUCAGAAUGCUACGGUGAAUACGUUCCCGGGCCUUGUACACACCGCCCGUCACACCAUGGGAGUGGGUUGCAAAAGAAGUAGGUAGCUUAACCUUCGGGAGGGCGCUUACCACUUUGUGAUUCAUGACUGGGGUGAAGUCGUAACAAGGUAACCGUAGGGGAACCUGCGGUUGGAUCACCUCCUU